rnacentral:lncRNA from 1 species
UCACAACAGCACGCUGCGCGGGCUGGCCGCCUGAAGUACAGCUGGAGAAGAGAAUGUUCAGCUCUCCGCUUCAGCUUGUGAGGCACGAGAACCACCCAUGCCCUUGGGCUGCCCUGCCUGACUUUUAAGUUCCUGUACUGGUCAGUCUUGCCAGCUCGGCACAGACUAGAGAGAGUCCCUUGAAGAGGAACCGCAGUUGAAGAUCUGCCUCUAUAGGAUUGGUCUGUGGGAUGUCUGUCAGGUAUUGUCUAGAUUAAGGACUGAUGCUCAGCCCUCUAUGGGUGGUCCAGACCUGGGAUGGUGAUCUCAGGCUAUAAAAGAAGGCAAGCUUAGCAAGUCAAGAAAAGCUGGUAAACAGCAUUCUUCCAUAGCUUCUGCUUCAGUUUCUACCUCAAGAUUCCUGCUCUGACUUCCUGCCUUGACUUCCUUUCCUUGUGGAAUGUAAGCUGUAAGCUACAUUGAAUAAAUCUUUGUCUUGCUUUUC